rnacentral:rRNA from 1 species
AAGUCGUAACAAGGUCUCCGUUGGUGAACCAGCGGAGGGAUCAUUACAGAGUACCAACUCGCAACCCUUUGUGAACCUUACACCGUUGCUUCGGCGGCUCGCCCCCCGGGGCGUGCCCGCCGGCAUUACCAGUCUCUCGUUUCGUACCCGACGAUACGUCUGAGUGUUCUAAGCGAACUGUUAAAACUUUCAACAACGGAUCUCUUGGCUCUAGCAUCGAUGAAGAACGCAGCGAAACGCGAUAUGUAGUGUGAAUUGCAGAAUUCAGUGAAUCAUCGAAUCUUUGAACGCACAUGGCGCCCCCCGGCAAUCUGGGGGGCAUGCCUGUCCGAGCGUCGUUUCAACCCUCGGUGCCCUAGUGGCCCGGCGUUGGGGGCCUGCGCCUCGCCGCAGCCCCCUAAAUCCAGUGGCGGUCCGCUGAGGCCACCCUUGCGUAGUAGCUAAACCUCGCAUCGGGAACCCAGCGGCCACCGGCCUCUAAACCCACGACAAAGACCGCCACCGCGCGGCAAGGUUGACCUCGGAUCAGGUAGGAAUACCCGCUGAACUUAA